UGGUGGAAUAACGACAAAUUCUAAUAUAAAAACACGGAAAUCCUAUUAAUGAGGACUUCCGUGUUUUUUUGUUAUUUCA
rnacentral:sRNA from 1 species